rnacentral:rRNA from 1 species
UGCCAGCCGCCGCGGUAAUACGGAGGGUGCGAGCGUUAAUCGGAAUUACUGGGCGUAAAGCGCACGCAGGCGGCCUGCCAAGUCAGAUGUGAAAGCCCAGGGCUCAACCCUGGAACUGCAUUUGAAACUGGCAAGCUAGAGUACGUGAGAGGAAAGCGGAAUUCCUGGUGUAGAGGUGAAAUUCGUAGAUAUCAGGAGGAACACCCGUGGCGAAAGCGGCUUUCUGGCACGAUACUGACGCUCAUGAGCGAAAGCGUGGGUAGCAAACAGGAUUAGAUA